GCGGCGCGGGGCCGGGGGGAGCCGCGGGGCCGGGAGCGGGGUAGGCUGCGCCCGUACUUAAGCGCGCUGCCCGAGCCGCUGACGUCUUUCGAAUUGGAGACGGGCUGCCCCGCUCCCGCCCCGGGCUCCAGCGGACACGGCCGGGGACGGAGCCAAGGUACGAGUGUCUUUCUAGAAUGUCCAGGCAUGCAAAAAAGCUUAGAGAUCAUGAUAUCAAUCCAUGUCUAGCGGAAACAGAUGCCACUACAAAAUGUAUGAAUGACAACAACUAUAACAAGGAUAUGUGUACUGAUUACUUUUUGAAGUACAAAAACUGCAGAAAAUUCUGGCAUGGCAUUAUGAUGCAAAGGAAGAGAAGUGGUGUGAAACCAGAGAUGCCCUCAGCAGAAGAAAGAAAGAAAAUCUUGGAAUCAAUGGGGAAGCCCUACUGACUGGAAAUCUGAAUUGACUGUUGUCACAAUACAUAUGAAGACUUGGCAGCAGCAAGUUACCAUUUCAUGAACCGGAUUUUACAGUUGCCAUAUGUUGGAUUAAAAUAAGAUCUUAAAUUUUGAAAUGUGGGAGCUUUCUAGGAUAGAAUUUCCUGGGUUUGUUCCUACUUCUUGUCAUAGGAACAUGGCCUCUUUUAUUGGAAGAUACGGGUCUCAAUGCCACUUGUGUAGAAACUUUUGGAAGUAGAAACUACCUUGCUGUGAAAUGCUAAAUAUAAAAUUAAUGGGACUUGAAGAAAGCCUGUUUGAAAAGAUGGGUUGAUUUUGGGGAGCUGUUGUCCUCUUCCUUAGGGCUGUGUCUCUUCAGACUCUUCUGCCUUUGCUGCCUUUCUGGCUUUUUGCCUCCCUUGGUGUGUCUAAGGGCACCUUCUCUCCUACUUGGCACAGGUUUGUCAUUUGCCACCUCUGCUGUAUCUUGGGACAUGUUCUUUGCUCCUAUGGCUUCAACUACUAUUCUAGUGCUUGCUGUGUUUCUGUUGCUGUGCUCUUAAAUUCUGGGCUUAUGUUAAAAUCUACAGUAUAUUUUAUGUGCAAGAAAAGCAUCAUCUUAUUCUUGAGGUGGGUAUGCCCAUUCUUCUUUGCAUAAGCUCAAGUUCCUUAACAUUAUCUCAUUUAUCCUAGGAUUUCCCUUCAAGUCUUCUUUGCAUGUAGAAAUGCUUAUAAGUAUAGUAUGUAGCAGUGCUUAUAAUGCACUUGUAAGUUGUUUGUUUUUUUUCCUGACAAUAUUUGCUCAGGAAGCUUCCACUCAUGUUAUUUUCUUUGAAAGGAUAACUGGCCUAUCUUUUGGCAUUAAUAGGUGGCCUGUGUUGCUUUGUAAAGUGUUUGUAAAGAACUAGCACUGGUCUUCAAAAAAUCAGCAAAGGAGAUACGUUACUGCUUUCAGGUGUCAGUGCCAGAAUGUGGGAUUGCAGGAUGGGCUAAGGCACAUGGAAUGCAGGAACAGCAGUCUAACAUUACACUUCUGAUCAUCAGUGGAUGUACAUGGCAAGCUCCCUGUGGAUGUUACAACAAAAAUCAGUUUAGUGUAGAGCUGAGAGCAAUUUAAGCAGUGACCUUGUUGAUUUAAUUCAGGUAAUCAGUAAUCUGUUGUAGGGAAUGUAAUUUAUUUCCAUUGUAUAUUCCUUACUGUUAAAUAACACGAGUUUAUAAAAAAUCUUGAGGGAGCAAGGCGUUUUCUUCCUCAUGUUGUAAUGUCUCUCAGGAGUGAUCUGUUACUGAGUAUGAGUUUUUAUUAUUUUUAUCCCUCACUUGAGGUUGCUGUUCUUGCUUUCACUGCUGAAGCUCGAGUGGUAAAGUGUGAUAGCUUAAACAUAGGCUCUUACGAGUUGAGAUUUUUCCAUUAAUUUUUGUAGUGUGAUUAACUACCUUUGGUUGUGAGCCAAAGAUAAUGGUCUUUUCCUCAUACCUGAGAGCUUACAUUCCACACUUCAUGAAACAGAGGUAAGCUGCAGCCUGCCACUUUUACUGGACCAAAAAACCCCAAAACCUGGGCUGCAUUAUUAAUUUCCCUAAAGCACACCCUUGUAUGUUAACCCAGAAAGUGUAACACAGUGGAUCAAUAUAAUUCAUUAAGAAACAGGGAAAGGGUCCUGUGUG